AUUAGUCGCUGGGGCACUCUGUGCCUCCAGCUACUAUAGGUUUCGGCUUCAUCGCGGAUUGUUGGUCACAAAAUGACCUACGUCAUUUUUUUGUCAAACAUUACGUCAUUACUUUCAGUCGCUGGAUUCAAGAUGGCCGCCUAUUAUGGAGCGUAUUUGGAAAUAGUUUCAUCGAUUUUGUGCAUAUUUUCUUCAUUUUUUCGAUGAAACUUAAUAGUUUUCCAUCAGCCAGACUCUAUAAACCGAAAGUCAUCUUAUAUGAGUAAACUUGGAAGGCUGGAAGCCUGAAAUAGACGACAAAAGUUCACAAUUUUCACAAAGUUGGAACUUCGUAAAUUGCAACAAUAAUAUUCGCAAGUUGCUGUUUAUUUGGAUGUAAAUAGAAUCUGCUUAAUGGGACAAGGGUUUAAUAGAACUUUUUGCCUUGCUGGCAAAUGAUAUUUUAAAAGCUCUCAGGACAGCUGUUAUCUCACAAUAGGUAUUGUACAAUUCAAACACACAGAACAUAUUAAUUUGUAUAAUAGAUAAAUUUGGCAAAGUUAGUUACAUUGUUGCUAUGCAAUUCACAACUUUAAAUAUUCAUGCCUAGUUAGUGUUCUACAGUAGUUCACACAUAGAAUAGAACAGAGGUAACUAAGCAUUUGAUAAGCCCUAUACACUAUAAAAGUCAUUCAUUCAUUCAUGUAGCUAGAUAAUUCUAAAGCUUAGUUAUCUUUGCUCUACUCUAUGCUUCAGUACACCAGAACAAUGAUACUUAAGGCUGCAUUCCAGUUUCAUAGGUGCGUACACGCACGUAAAAGUUGAAUUCGCUUAAAAUUUCAUAUAAGUGCAAAUAACCUUAACAAAUACACAUUAAAUCAUACACAAAACUGAAUGCUGUCCUUUUAUAAAUCUAGUUAUUUCAUAACGCUUAACUGGAAUGCAGCCUUAAGGCAUGUGACUUAUGUAAAGUUGCGAAUUGGAUAUAACCAAACUUAGACAAAUUUGUUUAUUGUCUAUAGUCCGGGGACUUGUUUGAUGAACUUUGUUUUAAUUUUUCCUUGAAUCCCAUUUUUGACAAAAACAAUUUUAUUAUAUGAACACAUAAACUUAACAAACAAAUAGCAGUCUUAAUCUCAAUCGCAUGCAGCAUAAUAUGCAAUAGCCCCAGCGACUAACGCUCAAUAGAGCGUCUUGUU
rnacentral:lncRNA from 1 species